rnacentral:rRNA from 1 species
UACGUAGGGCGCAAGCGUUGUCCGGAAUUAUUGGGCGUAAAGAGCUCGUAGGUGGUUUGUCGCGUCUGCCGUGAAAGCCCGGGGCUUAACUCCGGGUCUGCGGUGGAUACGGGCAGACUAGAGGCAGGUAGGGGAGAACGGAAUUCCUGGUGUAGCGGUGAAAUGCGCAGAUAUCGGGAAGAACACCCGUGGCGAAGGCGGCUCUCUGGGACGGUACUGACGCUGAGACGCGAAAGCGUGGGGAGCGAACAGG